CCAAUAGCGUAUAUUAAAGUUGUUGCAGUUAAAAAGCUCGUAGUUGAAUUUCGGGGUCAGCAGGUUGGUCGUGCCACCGGUAUGUACUGGCUUUGCUGAUUCCUCCCUCUUGUAGAACCGUAAUGCCAUUAAUUUGGUGUUGCGGGGAAACUGGACUGUUACUUUGAAAAAAUUAGAGUGUUUAAAGCAGGCUAACGCUUGAAUACAUUAGCAUGGAAUAAUGAAAUAGGACGUUGAUCUUAUUUUGUUGGUUUCUAGGAUUGACGUAAUGAUUAAUAGGGAUAGUUGGGGGCACUAGUAUUCAAUUGUCAGAGGUGAAAUUCUUGGAUUUAUUGAAGACUAACUACUGCGAAAGCAUUUGCCAAGGAUGUUUUCAUUAAUCAAGAACGAAAGUUAGGGGAUCGAAGACGAUCAGAUACCGUCGUAGUCUUAACCAUAAACUAUGCCGACUAGGGAUCGGAUGAUGUUAAUUUUUUAAUGACUCAUUCGGCGCCUUACG
rnacentral:rRNA from 1 species